AUGGGCACCCUCCUGCCCAAGCUGGCCGACCUGAUUACCAAGGAGUACAACCUUCAGAGGGGACUCAGGGGUGAGAUCAUGUUCCUCAAAGCUGAGAUGGAGAGCAUGGAGACAGCUCUCCUCAGGAUUUCUGAGGCGCCAAUCGACCAGCCACCGGACGUCCAAGUCAAGCUUUGGGCCAAGGCGGUGAGGGACUUGUCAUAUGACCUAGAAGAUAGCAUCGGCAAGUUCAUUGUGCGCAUCGAAACCCAUGGCCGACCAGAGAAGUCCCAUAGCUUCAGGAAUUUCAUUGAUGAAAGCCUCAGCCUGCUGACCAAGGGCAAGAUUCGCCACAAGAUCGGCAUGGAUAUCAAAGACAUCAAGAGCCGCAUCAAGGAGGUCAGUGAGCGGCGUGAUAGGUACAAGGUUGACAGUGUGGCUGCUGCCAAGCCAGUUGGUCCAGCUAUUGAUACCCUUCGCCUAUCAGCCUUGUAUAAAAAGGCCACCGAGCUCGUUGGCACUGACGAGAAGAGCGUUGAGGUAAUCAAGAUGCUGACUGAGGGAGACAUGAUUUCCCAGAAACAGCUGAAGGUGGUCUCUAUUGUUGGAUUUGGUGGAUUAGGCAAGACAACCCUUGCUAAUGCAGUCUAUGGGAAGUUGAAAGUGCAAAAAGAUAAUCAAGAACAGCAGUUCGAUUGUUCAGCUUUUAUUUCGGUCUCUCUUAAUCCUAACAUGGAGCAGAUUUUCAAGAGCUUGCUCCAUCAACUCGACAAGCACAGGACCCAGAACACCAAUGAGGCAUCGUGGGGUGAAGAACAACUCAUCCGUGAAAUGAGAACAUUUCUUGANNNNNNNNNGUACUUGAUUGUUAUUGACGACGUAUGGGAUAAGUCCGUCUGGGAAAACAUCAAAUAUGCGUUGAUUGAGAAUGAAUAUGGAAGUAGAGUAAUCACAACAACUCGCAUCCUUGAUGUUGCCCAGCAAGCUGGUGGCGUUUAUCGGCUGAAUCCUCUUUCUACUGUGGACUCAAGAAAGUUAUUCUAUCAAAGAAUAUAUGAUAUGGAGAACAAAUCACCACCUAAUCAAUUGGUUGAAGUAUCUGAGAACAUUUUAAAGAGAUGUGGGGGUGUGCCUCUAGCUAUCCUUACAAUAGGUAGCUUGCUGUCCAACCAAAAGGGCAGAGCACAUACACACCAGUAUUGGUCCAAGGUGUACAAAUCUAUCAGUUCAGGGCUAGACAGUAAUCAUGAUGAUGUGAAGAACAUGAGAAGGAUAUUAUCAGUCAGUUACUCUGACCUUCCUCCACACAUAAAGACUUGUUUACUGCAUCUCAGUUUGUAUCCAGAGGAUUAUCAGAUUGAAACACAGCAAUUGAUUUGGAAAUGGGUGGGUGAAGGUUUUGUGAAAGAGGAACCGGGGAUGAGCUUGUAUGAAGUAGGAGAGGGUUACUUGGAUCAACUAAUUAAUAAAAGCUUGGUCCAACCUGUACAUCAUGAUAAUACACAUAAAGUGCCCUUUUGUCGCGUACACGAUAUGGUGCGUGACCUCAUCACCUCUUUGUCAAAUGAGGAGAAUUUCCUAACAACAGUAGGUGGUCUGCAGCCAUUGCAUCUACCAAGUAAGAUACGCCGGUUGUCCGUUGAGACCAACAUUGAAGAAGUUGUUGAUCAGCUGCUAACAACGAGCUUGUACCAUGUGAGGUCACUUACUGUGUCUAGUCCAGCUUUUAGUUUGUUGCCAGAACUUUCGGGUUUUCUAGUUCUUCGUGUGUUAGAUUUAACUGACUGCAAGCAAGUGGAUAAUAAUCUUUGGAAAGAUAUAUGCAGUUUAUUUCACUUGAGAUAUCUGAGUUUAAAGGGAACAUCCAUCACUAAGCUACCCAAAGGGAUUAGGAAUCUGCAGUUUCUGCAAGUGCUUGACAUAAGGUCCACCAAAAUAGAAGAAGAGUUGCCGUCAACCAUUAUUCAACUAAAACAACUGUUGUUAUUCCACAUGCUUGAUAGCGUCGCUUGUGCAGUGCCAAGGUGGAUGUGCUCCAUGUCUUUCCUCUUCUCCCUAAGUAUCACACUUGAAACACUGGUAGAGGAGGACCUUCAGGUCCUUGGGAGCAUACCAUCUCUCAGUGAACUGCACAUACAAGUAAAGAAUCCGACACAAGGCAGAGAAAACAGGCUGGUUGUUGGCAGUGGUUAUCCAUUUCAGUGUCUGACGAGGUUUACUGUCAAAAGUCACACCAUGGAGAUGAAGUUUGCACGAGGAGCCAUGCAAAAUCUACACACCCUGCAGUUAUAUUCCAGUAAUUUGCAUGACACAUUGGUUCAGUUUGGCGACCUUGUUUUGGGUUUAGAGAAUCUCUCUUUACUUGAGCAUAUUUCUGUUGAGUUCGGCAGCGGCAAUGUCACAGAUGAGGAGAUGAGAAAUGUCAGAAAUGCAGUUCAGAAAGAGAUAGAUAUGAAUCGAAAUAUGCCCAUACUAAUGUUCCCUGGAACAGCCGAGGAAAAAGCUGAUGAUUUCAUCAGGAAAUACAGAUCUGAGCUGAAGAAGCAUAUAGCCUCAAGGGCAGACCCAGAAUUUUUUUGGAGCGGGGCCAAAUCAACGCGGGAUUACUUCUUCGAACUUGGUUGGAGUGCGGCCAAAUCAACAUGGAAUUACUUCUUCGAAUAUGGUUGGACUAGGGCCAAAUCAACUUGGGAUUACUUCUUCGAACAUGGUUGGAGUGGGUGCAAAUCAACGUGA
rnacentral:rRNA from 1 species